rnacentral:rRNA from 1 species
GACGAACGCUGGCGGCGUGCUUAACACAUGCAAGUCGAACGGAAAGGCCCUGCUUUUGUGGGGUGCUCGAGUGGCGAACGGGUGAGUAACACGUGAGUAACCUGCCCUUGACUUUGGGAUAACUUCAGGAAACUGGGGCUAAUACCGGAUAGGAGCUCCUGCGGCAUGGUGGGGGUUGGAAAGUUUCGGCGGUUGGGGAUGGACUCGCGGCUUAUCAGCUUGUUGGUGGGGUAGUGGAUUACCAAGGCUUUGACGGGUAGCCGGCCUGAGAGGGUGACCGGCCACAUUGGGACUGAGAUACGGCCCAGCCUCCUACGGGAGGCAGCAGUGGGGAAUAUUGCAGAAUGGUCGGAAGCCUGAUGCAGCAACGCCGCGUGCGGGAUGACGGCCUUCGGGUUGUAAACCGCUUUCGCCUGUGACGAAGCGUGAGUGACGGUAAUGGGUAAAGAAGCACCGGCUAACUACGUG